UUAUGCUUCUUGUUGCUGGUUUUUUGGUUGGACAUUUGAUUUCAAGGAAAAUAAGAAAAAUAAAUGAUUAGAAAACCUAGCCCCCUCCGUCUCCCUCUCCCUUGCGUUUUGAUCCGCUUCUUCUCUUUUCUUUCUCCGGCGAGAUCACGUUUGGCGAAAGGGACUCUUUACGCGGUGUCAACGACACGAGCUUCAUCUUCUCUCUUGCCUGCGAAGCCAACCCACGAAGCCAACCCACGCGACCUCCUUCGGUCACUGCGACCAUCGGCAAACCAACGACGUUUGGCGACUUCUCAGCAACCCGCGCGACCCAAACACCCUGAUAGCAACGUUUUCCCCUCCAUUUCGAAAAGACAUUUUUUAGCCUAGAAGUCUUUGAUUGGAAGUGAAGGAUCGGGAAUUUUGCACAAGAUUCUUAGGCGUCCAGUGGGGAAUGGAGAACACUGAUGUGUUCUUGGGUUUGCAUGACUUUCUUGAGCGCAUGCGUCAACCAUCUGCCUCAGAUUUCGUCAAAUCCAUUAAAAGCUUUAUUGUGUCAUUUUCGAAUAAUGCUCCCGACCCUGAAAGGGAUAGUGCUUCUGUCCAAGAAUUCUUUGCCAAAAUGGAGGGAGCUUUCAGAGCUCAUCCACUUUGGUCUGGUUGCUCAGAAGAAGAGCUGGAAAGUGCUGGUGAAGGAUUGGAGAAGUAUGUCAUGACAAAGUUAUUUUCUCGUGUCUAUGCUUCACUUGCAGAUGAUGUCAAAAUAGAUGAACAACUUUCUGAAAAAAUGGCAUUGAUUCAACAGUUCAUUAGACCAGAAAAUUUGGAUAUCAAACCAAAUUUCCAAAAUGAAACAUCAUGGUUGCUUGCUCAGAAAGAACUCCUCAAGAUUAACAUGCACAAAGCUCCAAGAGACAAACUUGUGUGUCUUCUCAGUUGUUGUAAGGUCAUCAGCAACCUGCUAUUUAAUGCUUCUAUUGCUUCAAAUGAGAAUCUUCCGGGGGCUGAUGAAUUCCUUCCCGUCCUCAUUUAUGUUAUCAUAAAGGCAAACCCUCCACAACUGCACUCAAAUUUAUUGUAUAUACAACGAUACAGGGGACAAUCCCGAUUAACUGGAGAAGCAGCAUAUUUUUUCACAAACAUACUCUCUGCCGAGUCAUUUAUCUUAAACAUUGAUGCAAAGGCCCUCUCAAUGGAAGAAAUUGAGUUCGAAAAAAACAUGGAAUCAGCUCAAGCACUCCUAUCUGGGCUCUCUAGUGAUGUUGAAGCUCUUUCUAACAAAAGUAACUUGAAUGAAGGGGUUGUUCAUUCAUCAGAACUAGUAGAAACCAGUUCUCAAGCUUCUGUUGAGCCUGCAGUUAGACCUAAGUCCACUGAAGCGAAGCCUAGAACUGAGGCACCACUUGCCAAAGAUCAGUCAGCAGUAAUGGAAGCUCCAUCGCUCUCGGAUUUGGAGAAUAAGGGAGCAGCUAUUCUUUUAAAUGAUCAGACAGGAGGAAGGCAAGCAUUCCGAGAUUAUCCAUAUUUGUUUUCUCAAGUUGGGGAUCUUACAUUUAAGGACGUCGAAGAGCUUCUCAGUCAAUACAAACAACUUGUUUUCAAGUACGUUUCCCUUUCUAGAGGACUGAGUGUCACAACUGCAUUUUCAUCUUAUUCAAAUUCUGAAAUGCAUUCCCAACAUCAUCCCGAGUCUUUCAAAGAACCUGAAGAUGUUAGAGAUGUGACAUCGAAUGAUGAGUCAGCUGGAGAGAGGCAUAGGUUAAUUGAUGGCUCAGAUGGAACCUCGCUGUUUGGAGAAGAAAAUGUCAGAUCAGGGUUACCACAAGACAAGGUAGUACUACCUCAACAUGAAGGAAACGAGGAAACAUCUCAGUCCUAGCACAUUCAACAACUUUUGUGGGGUCAAUCAAUUAAUUGUUUUCAGUCUGGUAAUUGUUUUCAGUCUGGUUAUCUUGCUUUGCUUCCUCAAAUUUCUGCCCAUCAGCAAUGAGUAAAUCUCAUGUGUAGGAGGAUAUGAUCUUUACGUAGAUGAUGAUUAAUGGCAAUAAAAAAUCAACCAAGAAAAUUUAGCCUUGAUUUUGGAUCCGGCGAUGGCCAGGAAAUCAGAUCCUCCUCCACGAAGACAAACUAAUGGCUACCGGACUCUCAAAAUUUCUUCCUGGCCUGUUUCCACAAGAUGAAUGGGAAGCAACUGUUCAUUCGACAUGGUGGAACAUGGGAUGAUAGCAAACAGUGCUAUGAUGGAGGUGUUUUGAAGGGCAUCAUGGUGUCAAGUACAUGGAGGUACCAAGAACUAGAAGACAGAGUUUACAAAAUAGUAAGGUUCAAUCGAUUUAAAUUCAACAUUGUAAUGAGGGUCCAGUAUAAGAUGGACAUGUAUGGACCUAUGGUGUGCCUAAAAGACGAUGACGACAUUAUUUUUCUAUUGGUUGAGUUGGAUCAAAUAGACCUUAUGUCAAUGUUGAGAGGAAGAUUGAAGAUAGAACCGUAGAUGAAAUACAGAAAAACAUGCAGAGAAAGAGACAAAACAUCAUGCAGAACAAUAUGCAGAAUAUGAUACAGAACAACACAAUGUUUGUGAGUCGGACAUUUUCCCUUACGUGGUGUCAAUGGGAAAUGACGACACUAAUCCAUGGGAUUCAGGUAUUACACGACAUUAUAUUGAACGAGAGAGGAUUCGUUAUAGAAGAAGUGGAUGAACCUGUGGAUAUUGAUCUUAAUGGUAAUUGUAGAGGUGAUGGGGAUGCACCAAACAUUGAGGAUAUUGGGUGAGGUAUAAUUGUAAAUAAGACAACA